rnacentral:rRNA from 1 species
CCUACGGGUGGCAGCAGUGGGGAAUAUUGCACAAUGGGGGAAACCCUGAUGCAGCGACGCCGCGUGAAGGAAGAAGUAUUUCGGUAUGUAAACUUCUAUCAGCAGGGAAGAAAGUGACGGUACCUGACUAAGAAGCCCCGGCUAACUACGUGCCAGCAGCCGCGGUAAUACGUAGGGGGCAAGCGUUAUCCGGAUUUACUGGGUGUAAAGGGAGCGUAGGCGGCGAGGCAAGUCAGAAGUGAAAGCCCGGGGCUCAACUCCGGGACUGCUUUUGAAACUGUCUGGCUAGAGUGCAGGAGAGGCAAGUGGAAUUCCUAGUGUAGCGGUGAAAUGCGUAGAUAUUAGGAGGAACACCAGUGGCGAAGGCGGCUUGCUGGACUGUAAAUGACGCUGAGGCUCGAAAGCGUGGGGAGCAAGCAGGAUUAGAUACCCUUGUAGUC